UCAUAGCAGCAUCUGUUGUGCUUCUCAGCAUUGGUAAUGAGAUCCCCAGGCCUGAUUAAGACCAUGUCCAGAGGGAACCUGCAAAGAACCCAAAUGGCAACUAAAAAAGCUAGCAGCAUUUGAUAUGAGUGCUGUCUAUAUACUGAUGUUGGUUAUUGGAUAAGUCCGGUAUCUUCUGAUGAAGCAGUGGAAAUCUAUGGUUCUCUGCCAAUGCUGCUUGAAUCGAAAGGUGAGAAGGCAGUUCCUCUGAAGGUCUGACUCUACCCUCUGAAGAAACUGGACAAGACCUCUGUGUGUGCUGUUCUCAGUGGAGUCAGUGAAAGCUUGUUGAAUAGAGCGGAGAACAUUCUGGAACAAUAGAGUAAACCGAUCAGGAUGUGUGAGGACCACAUGUCAGACUAUGAUAAUCUGAGUGUGAUUACAUGGUUUCCUGCUUUAAAUGGCAUACUUGAAUGCUUUUCAAAAGUUCUACUGGAAUAUAUGACAGAGUUGCAGAAUAGAAUGGCUGAAAUUCUCAAAUCUAUUAGUUUGAAAAGAGAAGAGGGAGAAAAUACUUUCAAAGUACUUAUCAGCAGUAUUAAUCAAUCACUGUUCAGUCCAGAGAACACACAGCAGUGGCUGGAGAAUAAGGAAACUGAAUUGGUAGUUUUAAAUGGGUGCAGAGAAGCAAACAUCACUAUUGUGAAAUCUCAAAUGGAGCUCCAAAGUGUAAAUGAUCCACAGAUUAGCAGGGUGUUCUGCUUCACUCUUUUCUCAAUAGACUCUGAAGAUUCUUUCCUCACAGCUCUAAAGCAGCACAUUGAAUCAAUGAAAAGUGUGCAUUAACUUUAUCAGAUUACAUAAAGCCAGAAGAUUCACUACAGUCACUCAAACCUGUUUGUACCAGUCAGAAAGUGCUUUUUGACCUGCAAGUAUUUAUCGCUAUGCAAGAGGUAACUGAAGAUACAGAGUUAAUUGCUGCAUCUGUAUCUGAUGAUGGUCUUCAUGAAUACUCUGUGCAGUUUUGUCAUGCUGGGAGGAUUGUGAGCAGAAAUGUGAAUCUUGGAACAAGUUCAGAUCUUGCCCAAAUAUCUCAGAUAAAACACAAUAGUGUGUCUCUAAAACUGAAUCAAGAAUAAAACAGAAGCACUGAGAGGUUUGUAGUGGAGUACAAGUUUUUUGCUAACGAUGGAAGGAUCAACAGUCCUUGGAAACAGAUCAUCUUUGAAGCCAAAACUCUUGAGGAAACCUGCAUUAUAUCAAGUCUAAGGUGAGGCCGACAAUUUCAGCGGUAUUUGGUUGUUGAGCAGGACUGUAUGAGCAACUUUAGUGAGAUUAUUAACUUUAAGACAGUAUUUGCAGCACCUGCAGAUCUGUGGGGAGAGUCCUGGGCCUCUCACCUUCAAAACUAAACCUGACUCUAAACCCACAAGUCAUCUCUGCCAAAGGAGUCACACGACUCUUUAAACACAUCACACACCUGAAGAAACUGAGGUUGAGCCCCAGCUUCAUGCUGUCUAUCAUGAUGGAGAUUUACAAAACUCGCUCUCAUCAGUAUGUGUCCAGUCUGUUAAGUUCAGAAGAGAAUUACAUCAACCUCCACUGCUCUGGACCUCAAUACCAGAGGGGCAGCAACAGAGUCUCUAACCUCAGUGUUGACAGUCUGUUGUUGCUGAAGCUGCUUCAUUGCAUCCGUUCCUCUGAUCACCAGUUCUUCAGAACACACUGGACUUCUCCUGCUGCUCUGCUGUGGACCUGACGGACACACAGGACAAUCAAGAUAACUUUAUCCUGACCACUAAAGACUAAAUUAAUCUCAUCCGUGCUUCAGAAAACUCAAAGUGUUGAUAAGGUGGUCUUACAGGACUGUGAGGUCUCUGACACAGGCCUGAAGCAACUACUCCCAGUUCAGCUUAGGUACAGUAAGAGCACUGACUUAUACAGGUCCCUUUCAUAACUAGUUAUACAUUAAUACGUUCAUUUGUUUGAUAAUACACCUGCAUAUAUAUUAUUAAUUCUCUCUCAGCAGUAGUAAAACUCUGCUGCUGCAGUUUCUGGUUUGUAUUAGUAAAGGAACUAAGAGGAGAUCUUUGAGGUGUUUUAAGGCUCUUUCUCUGGCUUUGGGAGGAGAGAUGGGCCUCAGUCACACUCAGAUGGACCAGAGAGUUUGUGAACAGCUGGCACUGUCUCUGGAACAUUCUGAAGGGCUUUCAAAACUGGAUCUCAGCCACUGCAAACUCACUGAUGAAUGCAUGAAGUCACUGAUACCACACCUGCACAAGACUCAGACUCUGGAGUGAGUAACACUGACAGAUCAGGAAUACAGAGACACAGAAGUUGUGAGAGAUAGAAUAAAAGCAUAACUCACUGUUCAAUUUCUUUCUGUUUUUGUAAUAUAUCUUUUACGCGGGGAAUGCAGGGGCAUGUCCCCCUCACUUUUUCACAGGGCAAAUGUGUUUACGCUGUGUCUUUCAUACAGCAAAUGUCUAAAUGUGUAAAUGCAAAAGUUAAAAUUCACUGGUCAGUUAUGUAAUUAAUUCAGUCAAAAAAUGUUAUCGAUUGAGAACCUUAAAAAUAUAUCUUAUAUAUUUAUGUUCGUCUUGUGCUAAUCGUUCUGUCCCCCUCGCUUUUGAAAGGAUUGAAAUGCCCCUGAUAAAGAGGAUGUGUUGUAAAUAACUUAAAACAUGAUGAAACAAAUGAUCACAAUCAUCAAAGGGCUAAGCACUCAUUCUGAGUAGUUUACUAGUAUAAUUAUGAAAUUAAACUCUUAAUGUAUUAAUAAUGCAAUUGAUUUGCUCCGAACUUAAUGGAUUUUAAGAUAAAUGUACAUUAUAUUACAGAGUUAUGAUGAUAUGAUGUUCUGUCUCUUUUAAACACUUAUGGCAGUAAAGCUGUUGGAAAGUUUUUGGUGUUCUUAUGUUUUCGUGCAGUAAAUGUAAACAUAGUCACAAGAAUGUUAACAAUACUAACUAGUGUAAGGUGGUUAUUAAAGGUCACGGGGGUGGCCGUUUCAAUGACACGGGGUGAUAGACCUUUGGAUCUCUGGGCCAAUGAAGUGGCACCCCAAACUCAGGUUUUAAAUCCUUAUGUCUUUUAUUUUCUUGUUUUCUUUUAUUUUCUUUAUCAUUUUCAUGGAAAGCACUUUGAAUUACCUCUGUGUUCAGAAUGUGCUAUAUAAAUAAACUUGCCUUGCCUUGCAUAUGGCACCCGGUCUAAGACUUGCACACAGAAAUUACAAGACCAGUCCAUUAAUUCCAAAUGCUCCUAAGAUAUUAUCUGAACAUUGACAGAUUUUUUUAUUUUUUUUAGAGUAAAUCUUAUUACUCUUAAAAAACAAGUGGCUUUCAGCAAAGGUCUCUCUUUAGGAAACGGCUUUUAUGUGUGAUCU